ACGCCAACUUCUUCUUGCAAAAAAUAUAUAAAAAAUGCUAGCCUCUUCCAUUGCUCUCUCCUUCUCAAUGGAGAACAGCGGCGGCACGCUUCUGCUCACGCUCUCCUCGCACUGACACUGUCUCCCUGAUCCGCCUGGAAGCCACCUGCCCAUGGCCGACUCGCUCUCCUCUGCCUCAGCUCACUGUCCUCCUGCUGUCGCUCAGUGGCGAGACCACCACGAUGCCGCUCGCUCUCCUCCCGCCGACCUCCUCUGCCCCAGAUCUCUGCAGAGCACCUCCUCCUAGACGACCUCGCGUGUGCGCCGCCGCCGCUUCACACAUCAACGCCGACACCUUGUUGUCGUCCCGGAGAGCUUCCUUCACGCCGCCUCCGCGCCAGCAAGUCCCGACACCGGCGAGCCACUGCCCUUUGGGUGAUGCGGUGCUCCCUCGUCUGCGUGUGUGGCGGGCCGGCUGGUGCUCUGGGAUUAAGCGCGCACUGCGGCCUCGGCUACAAUUUUUGACUGGUAGUUAAUUGUAAGGGCGAUCUUGCACAAUUCUACCUGAUGUAUUGCAUAGUCCAAGUCUUUCCAGACGAAUACCAUCUACAGACAUUGGAAACAUUGUUGAACACCUUUCCCCAGCUACAGGACAGACAGAGCACGGUCUGGCUGCCGGGACGCCGGCGAAUAGGAACCUGGGCUUGCGACGGAUGCCAAGAUGAGCCAUAGAGUUGCAGGAGCGAGCAGCAGAGCGAAGGGAGGUGCAGAAGAGCAGCUCUAGGAGGCGGCGUGGUGGAGCGGUGACGGCUACGCGUGUCAGUGGUGGUGGUGGUGCUGGGGCGAUGAGCGGUAAGUAACGGCUACGCUCGCUGAUGGUGGUGGUGCUGGGGCGAGGCAGGGCGGCAAGAAAAACACCCAGCGGCCAAGCGUCACGGCGGCGGGUGGGCACGGGGGAAGACAUAUUUGAAGCAAUCAAGUGCAGGUCGACAGAGAACCAACAACCCUGAUUUCAACCCUUUGUGCACAUACCUCAAGCGUAGAAUCGGCCGACGAAUUUCCGGUGAACUAUGGAGCGUUGUCGGACACCAGCUUGUUUUUCGUCGAAGUCUGAGGAGGCGACAUUGGACAGUCUUCCAGCAAAGUAGGCGGAGACGACAUUGGACAGAUUUUGUGGGACGGUGUCUUGUUUUCUGUCGAAGUUGGCAGAGGCGACAGUGGGCAGACUACCGACGAAGGUGGACAGAUUCUGCCAGACGACGGCUUUCCCGCGAAAUCAGUGGAGGUGACUUGAAAUUGCGAUGCAAUUUACGUGGAUUGCCGAUCGAGCCUUUAAUAUGUUAUAUAGCAGUCAAUUUUGUGUGAAAUCCUAGUCGGGAUACUCAUGGCUCCGUACUGGAGUUGGACACCCGUGACUCCGUAUUGGAGUUGUUCUUGUACGCGUGUGCUGCUGGUUGGCUGGAGAUAUAUUAUGGGCUGAUGUAACCAAUAUCAGCCCAAUAAUCCAAAUAAACGUGAAAGGACGGGCGAUCUAACC